rnacentral:lncRNA from 11 species
UUUCCCUCUAAUUAGGACUUUAUUUUUCUUUUCUUUUUGUUGUAUGAACAUAGAGGCAUGGAUGAGGGGUUGUGCUGCCAAGUUUAGUGUUUCUGGGAUGUGUAGUUUUGUUGUUUUUCCUAGGCCGAAAUUUCAUUACCCUUUUAUAUAUAUAGAUGUUCAUUUUUUUGUUCAUCAAUUAAUGUGAAUUCUUAAUGGAAAAAUAAGACAUCCCCUGAAAAUAAGACCUAGCGCAUCUUUGGGAGCAAAAAUUAAUAUAAGACACUGUCUUAUUUUCGGGGAAACACGGUAUGUGCUGAGUCAGAUUCAACACUUGUGAUGUGCAGCUUUUGCAUUUCCUGAAGCCAGCUUGCUCCGGAAUCAAACAUGGGUCUGUUUUUUCAGAAAUUAAUGACCUUAUUUAAAUCAAAUAAAGUCAUUUCAUUCUGAACAUAAAGUGGGAGGAGGAGGGUGUCAGCAUUUCACUUUCAAAUACACUCUACAAAUUGAAGGCCAAAUGGAAAACGAGCCUAGUUUUAUGGAAUGGGGGAGAUUUAUAAUGAGGCGAAGAAGACGCAAGGACUGACAGACAGAGACCUGGGAAGGAGAUAUGAGAGAGAAGGAGUGAGCACGGGGGAAACCAGCCACGAUCAAUGGAAUAAAAGAGAAGCAAAUCAAUAUCGGAGGGAGCUGUUGUGGGGAGAAGUUGAAGAAAUAUCCCCGGAGGGAGAAAAGGAGCCGGGACUAUUGGAAGUUAAAAGAAGAAUGCAAAUGUCAUGAACCAUUAAUGCUACUGAUGAAACUAUAUCUCUGUAACCAAUGGGCACACCUCAUUUAGCUCA